rnacentral:rRNA from 1 species
GACGGAGGGUGCUAGCGUUGUUCGGAAUGACUGGGCGUAAAGGGCGCGUAGGCGGCUCGUGAAGUCGGGUGUGAAAGCCCGGGGCUCAACCCCGGGAGGCGGGUGGAUACUGCUGAGCUCGAGUCCGGAAGAGGCGAGUGGAAUUCCUGGUGUAGCGGUGAAAUGCGCAGAUAUCAGGAGGAACACCGAUGGCGAAGGCAGCUCGCUGGGACGGUACUGACGCUGAGACGCGAAAGCGUGGGGAGCAAACAGG